rnacentral:ncRNA from 1 species
CCAUAAACAGGCUCGAUCCUAGCCCUUCUAUUAACUCUUAGUAAGCUUACACAUGCAAACAUCCCCGACCAAGUGAAAAUGCCCUCUAGAUCACCCGCAUCAAAAGGAGCAAGUAUCAAGGGCUCACAAAUGCAGCUCAAAACACUUUGCUCAACCACACCCCCACGGGAAACAGCAGUGAUAAAUCUUUAGUAAUAAAUGAAAGUUUAACUAAGCUAUGCUGAUAUCUAGGGUUAGUCAAUUUCAUGCCAGCCACCGCAGCCAUACGAUUAACACAAGCUAAUAGAACUCGGCCUAAAGCGUGUUUAAGGUCUGCCCUCAAUAAACCCAAACUCCGUCUAAGUUGUAAAAAACUUUAGCUGAAAUAAAAUAUACUACAAAAGUGGCUUUAGUAUCUUGAAGACACAAUAGCUAAGACUCAAACUGGGAUUAGAUACCCCACUGUGCUUAGCCCUAAACUCUAGUAGUUACAUUAACAAAACCAUUCGUCAGAAUACUACAAGCAACAGCUUAGAACUCAAAGGACCUGGCAGUGCUUUAUAUCCCUCUAGAGGAGCCUGUUCUAUAAUCGAUAAACCCCGAUACACCUCACCACCUCUUGUCCCCAGCCUAUUACCGCCAUCUUCAGGAAACCCUGAAAAGGUUGUAGAGUAAGCACAAGUGUAUACAUAAAAAUCUGGUUGGUGUAGCUCAUGAGGUGGCAAGAAUUGGGCUACAUUUUCUAUAUCCAGAAAAUAUCAUGACUACCUUUAUGAAAUCUAAGGGCUCAAGGAAGAUGUAGCAGUAAACUCAGAGCAGAGUGCUUGGCCAUGAAGCACUCACACACUGCCCAUCACCCUCCUCCAGUACUAUUCUAGAGAUUACUGUUACUAAAAGCUUUCUACACAUGUAGAGAGGAGAUAAGUCUUGACACGGUAAGCGUACUGGAAAGUACAUUUGGGAAAAGUAAAGU